UGGGGAAUAUUGGACAAUGGGCGAAAGCCUGAUCCAGCCAUGCCGCGUGUGUGAAGAAGGUCUUCGGAUUGUAAAGCACUUUAAGUUGGGAGGAAGGGCAGUAACCUAAUACGUUGCUGUCUUGACGUUACCGACAGAAUAAGCACCGGCUAACUCUGUGCCAGCAGCCGCGGUAAUACAGAGGGUGCAAGCGUUAAUCGGAAUUACUGGGCGUAAAGCGCGCGUAGGUGGUUUGUUAAGUUGGAUGUGAAAGCCCCGGGCUCAACCUGGGAACUGCAUCCAAAACUGGCAAGCUAGAGUACGGUAGAGGGUGGUGGAAUUUCCUGUGUAGCGGUGAAAUGCGUAGAUAUAGGAAGGAACACCAGUGGCGAAGGCGACCACCUGGACUGAUACUGACACUGAGGUGCGAAAGCGUGUGGAGCAAACAGGAUUAGAUACCCCCGUAGUCCCUGAGCGGGCUGGCAAGGCGCAU
rnacentral:rRNA from 1 species